rfam:Epilithonimonas sp. FH1 contig07, whole genome shotgun sequence.
UCCUAGCCCUGAUGGUAAUGGAAAUCCCACAGCAAGCGAUGGACAAAGCCUGGCGCGAGGAAUUGCAAUGGACAGCAGGUUCCCGG